rnacentral:rRNA from 1 species
GAUGAACGCUGGCGGCGUGCUUAACACAUGCAAGUCGAACGGAAAGGCCCAAGCUUGCUUGGGUACUCGAGUGGCGAACGGGUGAGUAACACGUGGGUGAUCUGCCCUGCACUUCGGGAUAAGCCUGGGAAACUGGGUCUAAUACCGGAUAGGACGAUGGUUUGGAUGCCAUUGUGGAAAGUUUUUUCGAUGUGGGAUGAGCUCGCGGCCUAUCAGCUUGUUGGUGGGGUAAUGGCCUACCAAGGCGUCGACGGGUAGCCGGCCUGAGAGGGUGUACGGCCACAUUGGGACUGAGAUACGGCCCAGACUCCUACGGGAGGCAGCAAUGGGGAAUAUUGCACAAUGGGCGCAAGCCUGAUGCAGCGACGCCGCGUGGGGGAUGACGGCCUUCGGGUUGUAAACUCCUUUCGCUAGGGACGAAGCGUUUUUGUGACGGUACCUGGAGAAGAAGCACCGGCUAACUACGUG